rnacentral:rRNA from 1 species
GAUGAACGCUGGCGGCGUGCCUAAUACAUGCAAGUCGAGCGAACAGACGAGGAGCUUGCUCCUCUGCCGUUAGCGGCUGACGGGUGAGUAACACGUGGAUAACCUACCUCUAAUACUGGGAUAACUUCGUGAAACCGGAGCUACUACCGGCUAAUAUAUUGAACCGCAUGGUUCAAUAGUGAAAGACGCUUUUGCUGUCACUUAUAGAUGGAUCCGCGCCGCAUUGUCUGGUUGGUAAGGUAACGGCUUACCAAGGCACCGAUGCGUGUCCGACCUGAUAGAGGAAUCGGCAAAACUGAAACGGGAACACGUUCCGAACCCCAAGGGAGGGAGGAGGUGGGAAAACUUCCGCAAGGGGCGAAGGCCGGACGAAGCAACGCGGGGUGGGGAAGAAGGGUCUUCGGUUCGUAAAACUCUGUUUUAGGGAAGAAAAGAUGUGUAAGUAACUAUGCACGUCUUGACGGUACCUAAUCAGAAAGCCACGGCUAACUACGUG